ensembl:lncRNA LINC00710 long intergenic non-protein coding RNA 710
GAAAAGAUCUGAAGAUACGCCCCUUGGAUGCCUGCAGAGAAGCUCUGGGGCUUCAGUCAAUGACUCAGGGUAGCCACCGAACAUGAUGCUCGGGCAGUGGGUGCCACCUGGACUCCACUCUCCCCUCUCUCUGGGAUCAUAGAGUCCAAGGUGUUCUGUGGCCUCUCGGCCAAUCCCAGCAGCUCAGCGUGCAGAAGACCGAGGAGCCAUUGGAAUUCAACACAACACGAAAUAAUCAACAAAUUCGGGGAAUGUUAAUCUGACCAUCACCAGUUACAAAUGAUGUUUCAUGCUACCUUCUAUUCCUGCCUUCAUAAAUCAAGGUAAUUACUUGGCAAUCUGGCUAUGCCUUGUAAGGCAAAAGAGCUGUUCAUUUCUUGUGUCAAAUGGUGAACAGGGAGGGAGAGUAAAAUGGUAAAUAACCCUGCCUCCCAUCUGUGCCCAAUCAGCUCUAAAUCUCCAGGAAAAAAUGUGCUCAGGAUGGCCAGAGAAAUGUCCUUCCAACUGUGCAUGGAAAGGUAUGAUUUUGUGCAGCAGGUGAAGGACUGGUUAGAGUAAGUGUGUGCUGAGCUUUUGUGUUUGAAAGCGAGCCUGUGCACUUCUAACGAUUGGAAGGUUUCCUUGCCUUCUCCGAUCUUACACACAGCAAGGACAGCAAAGCCUUCCAGACCUGCCUGUGACAUGCACUGCACAUUCUAAAGAUGCCUAUGCAAUGGAAAACACCACUGUCUGCUCCAGCACAGCUGCCAUUCUUCCAUCUUAUCGACCUUAAUGCAACAACUCCUCACAGGCAGAGAUUUUAAAAUGUGUUCUUGGCAGAAGAGAGACUCAAAGAUGGGACAAAUGUGUCAUUUAAAUGCCUGUUAAAAUGGAAACAGACAUAGUAUAGUCAGAGGAUUGUGGCAGCUAAGAACAUAGUCUCUGGAGCAAAUCUGCAUGGGUGGCAAUGCCAAGCACAUGAGGUCCUAGUUGUAUGAACUUAGGAAAAGAAAAAGAGAACAUAUAUCCCCCUACCUUUUGAUUUCCAACAGUCUACUGAGAGGCCAAGAUUAUUUGCAGGGAAAGAAAAGGGGUCAAAAUGUUUUGCCAGUAACUCCCAAAUCAUCUACAGCCAAGGAGAAAAGUGUUUCAAGACAGAGGUGCUCAAUGGUAUCAAAUACUGCCAACAGACCAAGUAAUACAUGCAUUGAAGUGUCUACUGGAUCUAGCUAUAUGAUUCCACAGCUGUUUUAUAGUAACUCAGAGUUUGAAGAGAAAUUACUCCUGCAGUACCAGUUUCCAAAAUGCUUUGUAGCAUCUUCUCAAAAAACAAAUGGGAAGAAGCCAAUCAGAAAUAAGGUAGAAUUGGCCAGGCACGGUGGCUCAUGCCUGUAAUCCAGCACUUUGGGAGGCCAAGGUGGACGGAUCACCUGAGGUCAGGAGUUUGAGACCAGCCUGGCCAACAUGGGAAACCCUGUCUCUACUAAAAAUACAAAAAUCAGCUGGGCAUGGUGGCACUUGCCUAUAAUCUCAGCUACUUGGGAGGCUGCGGCAGAAGAAUCGCUUGAACCUGGGAGGCGGAGGUUGCCUCCCGGUGAGACAAGAUUGCACCACUGCGCUCCAGCCUGGGCAACAGACCGAGGCUCUGUCACGAAAAAAAAAAAAAAAAAAAAAAGAAAAGAAAAA